rnacentral:rRNA from 1 species
CCCGAAGUAUCCUGAAUCUUUCGCAUUGUUAAUCAUACAAGUGCAUAUAAUAAACACAAAAAUCAAUGAUAAUUAUGCCAUUAUAUAAUUCCGAAAAAUUAACGCACUGUAUUCAUAUUAAUCUAUCAGUACUUUAUCAAAUUUACAACAUUUAUCUUAAAUUAAAAUGCAAGCAAAAUAAUCAAAAUAAACUAUAAGCCAUAAUNGUAUGAUAAAUUNAUUAUACUAAUAGAUUACAAUGUCCUUAUAUGGAAAAAAUG